rnacentral:misc_RNA from 1 species
UAACUACGUGCCAGCAGCCGCGGUGAUACGUAGGGUGCGAGCGUUGUCCGGAUUUAUUGGGCGUAAAGGGCUCGUAGGUGGUUGAUCGCGUCGGAAGUGUAAUCUUGGGGCUUAACCCUGAGCGUGCUUUCGAUACGGGUUGACUUGAGGAAGGUAGGGGAGAAUGGAAUUCCUGGUGGAGCGGUGGAAUGCGCAGAUAUCAGGAGGAACACCGAUGGCGAAGGCAGGUUACUGGGCAGUUACUGACGCUGAGGAGCGAAAGCAUGGGUAGCGAACAGGAUUAGAUACCCUGGUAGU